AUUCGGCUGACGAGUUCCAAAUAGGACGAAACGCGCGUCCUGAAU
rnacentral:hammerhead_ribozyme from 1 species